rnacentral:lncRNA from 1 species
GAUUUUUGAGCCCCAGUGAGACACAUUCAAGGUCUAUUGAAUUAGGUGAUAUCUCAAAAAUGAUAUUGAUGGGCUCUUCUCGUGAAAAGUUUUAGGAGGUUAUGAAGAUACAACGACAAACUGGAAACCACUAUGGCUUGAAAAGUAGGUUUACUUUGUUUGUUGGUUUCUUGUUUCUUUUGCAAUAUGAAGCUAUAUAGCUUCAAAGAUCUCCCAAUGGGAUCCUAUUUUUUGAGAUAUUGGAGAGCAGAUGUUUCCAAUCCAUUAGUACUAUAUUCAAUCAUCAGGUUGUGAUGAAUCAAUAUAAUUAAAAACUUUGGACCUGGUGCAGAAAGGGAUGAACAACAAAUCCCCGAAUUUAUCAAUACCAAAUCAUAAACCUGGAUUUGACUGUACCUAACCAGAGGAAACCUUGGCAUUAUCAAGUCAAAAAAAGGCCUUUAUCAAUUGACUUAAUACUAUUUUAUCAAUAACAGACUUCCAAAGCUCUUCUCACAGGUAUAUUAUUAUUAUCAUUCAAAAAAAGGCCUUUAUCAAUUGACUUAAUACUAUUCAGUAAUAUAUUAGCUCUACUAUUGCUAUAAUCCAUUUACUCUAUGAACUUAUUCAUGACUCAAAUUGGAUGAAAACUUGCAGAUUCUCAAUUGAACAGGCUCCAACCAUUGUCACAGAGAGAGGAAACGCUAACAAGUUAUUGAAAAACAACGAAGCAUGGUAAGUUAUUAGAUGAUCAUCCAAAAUCAUCAUUGAAUGGAAACGAUCUUACACAUCCUACGUAAAAACACUGCCAAAUGUCACUUAGGAAUUGAUUGACAACCAUGAAAUGCGCAACUAAAAAUUCCUAUCAGGUGACUUCCAAAUAAAUACCAUUGUGAGAAGCCUGUUCUAGCAUUGCAAAUUUUAUGGAUUCUCAAAGCACAUCCAAAUUCACAGUUUCUGGGUUAAUGUGUAGAGCAUAAUUUUACCAAAAAACAAAAAACAUAAGAAAAAGGGAGGGGAGAAAAAAUACAAAAAUACCCACCCCAAUUUCAACAUAAAAUCCCACAAAACAUUGUGAAACUUAAUUCAGAAAUAUUCAACCGAGCCCUACCUCAAGUGCACGUUUGUACUUCCUGAGCUUUCUCAACCUGUUAAUGGUGUGAAAAACAUCUCCCCUUUGAACUGGAAAACCCUCACUCAUGUAACUUUGAAAUGCAUAGACUAUAGAUUCUCUCCUUUCAAGCUUCUCAACUCUUGAAGUCAAACUCUUGAAAUCAAAUGAAUUCUCAGAAUCAGUACAUUCUAUGAAAUUGGGAGUCGCUAGUACCUCAGUAGAGAGAGGACAAACCCUAUGUUUCCAAAAUGGGGCCCUGGUAGUGGCCUGCAAAAUGAGACAGAGUGUUCUCGGCCUAGAAAUGGUCCAAAACAUACCCAUGUCUCUAGACCAAACCAUUAACGGAAUCUGAGAGAUGGAGAGAGAGGAGAGGGAGAGAAAGAGAGAGAGGGCAUUUUCUUAUGCCUCUCCCAAAGGGUAUGCAUGUUUUGUGAGAGAGAGAGAAAGAGAGAGAGAGCGGGGGGGGAGAGGGAGGGGUUGGGGGGGUGGUGGGUAGGGAGACUACAGUUACCGCUCCGUAUAAUGUGAAUCACCCCUUACACUUUGAGCAUACAAUAAUCACCAUAUUGCCUGCACACGUCUAGAGACCUGCACGCACAAACAUGGAUUUAUCUUAUCCACUUGUAACACAAGGUGGCACUGGUAUAAUAAAGACACCAAUGGAGCAACAAAGUUUUGUUCAAAUGUCAAUAGCAAUUUACGUGUUUUACUACUUGGUUUGUUGUAACUUCUCUCUCUCUCNNNNNNNNNNNNNNNNNNNNNNNNNNNNNNNNNNNNNNNNNNNNNNNNNNNNNNNNNNNNNNNNNNNNNNNNNNNNNNNNNNNNNNNNNNNNNNNNNNNNNNNNNNNNNNNNNNNNNNNCAUGGUAUUAUUAUUAUCCACUUGUAACACAAGGUAGGCGACUGGUAGUAAUAAAGAACAACCAACUAGGAGCAACAAAGUUUAGUUCUAAUAGUCAAUAGACUAUUACGUUGUUUACUUACUUGUUGUUGUACUUCUCUCUCUCUCUCUCUCUCUCUCUCUCUCUCUCUCUCUCUAUAUAUAUAUAUAGGGAUUGUAUACAAUGAGAUCAUUUACCUUUGAUACAAUGAGAUUAUUUACCUUUGAUACAAGGAAGUCACAAGUAUUAAUAACCAUCUGAUGUGAAAUUUGAUAGCGUGUGUGUCACAAAGUUUGAAAAAAAUUCUUUUGAAGUUUGAGCUUGGUCAAUGCAAUGAAUGCAGCCAUCAAAUUUCACAUCCAAUGGUCAAGAUUAAUAGUGACCACCUUGUCCAUUGAAUCUUGACCACCUUUGGUACAAGGUGGUCAUAAUUAAUCUUAACCAUUGGAUGUGAAAUUCGAUGGCUGCAUUCAUUCUAUUGACCAAGCUCAAACUUCAAAAUAAAUUUUUUCGAACUUUGUGACACACGCUAUUAAAUUUCACAUUGGUUAUAAAUACUUGUGACUUCCUUGUAUCAAAGGUAAAUGGUCUCGUUGUAUACAAUCCAUAUAUAUAUAUAUAUAUGAGCAAUGAUCCAAUGCAACGGUUGUAUCAUAGUAUAAUGCAACGACACUUCUAGAAAACCAUGUUUGUGGUAUUUGUAUGACCCCAAAUUUUGCGCACACACUCUCUUCAUUUCAAUAAUCAAUCCCCCCCAAAAAAAAAAAGUUCAAUUCGAACCCUAGAUAUGAUCAAAAUGAGUCCCCACCAAAAACAAAUCUAGACCAUUAAUUUUGUGAAUUUCAAGAUCUUAACCUUUAUAAACUCAAAAUCAUUUUUUUCUUUUUUAACAUUGUUCAUCUAAUGAUAAUAAAGCUAUCCAAAAAAGUUGGAAAUGAAAAAAAUCCUUCUAAGGCCUAGAUCUAAACAUCUCACCAAAAUGAACGGCCUAUGUUAAUUGGGCUAAAAAAUACUUUCUAAGUUGUGUUUUCAAUUUUUUUCUUUUUUUGUGAUUAUUCAUUAGAAUGAAAAGAGUGUAUAUUUCAAAAUUUGGAUCAAACAAAUGACCAUAAGAUGGUUUUUUAAGGUUGUUGCAUCCUAUUACUAUACAACGGUUGCAUUAAAUCAUUGCCCUAUUUAAAUAUAAAUAUAUAUAUAUAUAUAUAUAUAUAUAUAUAGGGAAAAUAUGUUGUGCGCCCAAGUCCGUACUACUACAAUAAACGCCCACGGCCCAGAUUGAAUCUAGGCCGAUCUGAAGUUCACGCAUGUCCGAUAGUGUUUGAAUUUUACUUUUUUUUUUUCUACAAAUCCAAGUCACUUUAAAUUUUAGAUGUGUGUUUUUCUCAGUAAUAAAAAUAUAAAAAAAAUAAUUUGUGAAAUCAAAAUUGACUAAAAUGCCCCUUGAAACUUUUCGGGGAUAUUUUGGUCAAUUUAUUUCAUGUAAAAUUUUGUUUUGAUAUUUUUCCUAGAUUCGCCUAUUUUUUAAGAACACACACUUAAAAUUUCAAGUGAUUUGGAUUUGUAGAAAAAAAACUAAACUUCAAACACUAUUGGACAUCCGUGAUCGUCAGAUCAGCCACAAAAUGGCCCAAAUUCAAUCUGAACCAUUCGCAUAUGGGUGUAUGGGCGUACAACAAUGACUCCCACAUAUAUAUAUAUAUAUAUAUAUAUAUAUAGAAAUACUUCCUAACGNNNNNNNNNNNNNNNNNNNNNNNNNNNNNNNNNNNNNNNNNNNNNNNNNNNNNNNNNNNNNNNNNNNNNNNNNNNNNNNNNNNNNNNNNNNNNNNNNNNNNNNNNNNNNNNNNNNNNNNNNNNNNNNNNNNNNNNNNNNNNNNNNNNNNNNNNNNNNNNNNNNNNNNNNNNNNNNNNNNNNNNNNNNNNNNNNNNNNNNNNNNNNNNNNNNNNNNNNNNNNNNNNNNNNNNNNNNNNNNNNNNNNNNNNNNNNNNNNNNNNNNNNNNNNNNNNNNNNNNNNNNNNNNNNNNNNNNNNNNNNNNNNNNNNNNNNNNNNNNNNNNNNNNNNNNNNNNNNNNNNNNNNNNNNNNNNNNNNNNNNNNNNNNNNNNNNNNNNNNNNNNNNNNNNNNNNNNNNNNNNNNNNNNNNNNNNNNNNNNNNNNNNNNNUAUUUUUGAUGAAUACACGCUCCAAAUUUCAAGUCAUUCCAAUUUGUAGAAAAAAAAAUGAAAAAUGAAAGACUACCUGACAAUCGUGACUGCGAGAUGAACUUUGGACGGUGAUGGGGGUAAGCGAAAUCACUAUUCAUGUUCGCCUAUAGGCGUUGCAUAGUGUUUUCCAUAUAUAUAUAUAUAUAACUACUAUAAAUCAAGGAGUAAAACACAUGAAUGAACACAACUCUCAAAACUAGUAGGGAAUGCACAUUUGACAACUCUUUCAAAUACUAGUUGUGAAGCCGCUACAUAAUUCUUUCCUUCAGGCAUUUGGAUGACUUAGUUCUUUCUUUCUACCUUCAACUCCAAUUGACAUAUAAAAUGCAUCUCCUACCACAUUUUGUUUUUUGCAUUACCCAAAAUAUACAGAUUUUUAGCAACCCCAGCUUCACACCAGCGCAAAUAUUUCACUGCCCACUCAUAGGAAGUUAUUUCGUUUCCUCAAUGGAGCAUUCCAUUUUCGCUUUUAAAGGUUGGCAUGCAUAAGUGUUACUUGAGGCCUUCUUUCGAAACCAGUUUUUGAACGACCUUGGGCCUUCUUGGUUUUGGUUCAUUAUCUCAUUUCAUAGAUCUUCUUUUACUGGCUCAGAUUCUUGUAUUGAGCCAUCUUUACAGUAUGAAGACUCCUUCCAAAAUUAUUGGCCACAAGGAAGCAAGGAAAAGCAUGAUGCCCUAAGAGGUGGCAAUGGGCUGCGUGGCCUGGCCCAGCACUUUUUCUUUUCUUUUCUUUUUUUUUUCUCUUUACUUUUUAUGUGUUUUUAAAUUGGCCCGGCCCAGCCCGCAUAGGCCAGGGCCACCUUUGUCCUGUCAAGGCCAGGUAAGCUGGGGUCGGGGCCUGCCCUAUGUGUAUUAGGGCUGGGCUAGGGCUAGAGAUGGCCCGGCUAGGGCCCCGCCAUUUGCCAGCCCUAGACGCUCCUCACAAAACCCAAAACCUCAAUCUCAGAUUCAUUAUCAUUUGGGACGGAAGCUAUUGCUUGUUGAUGGGUGUAAAAAGCAAAGACCAAAUGGAUGGAAACAUGGAUCGUUUAAAUUCCAACUCCGCACAAUAGGCUACAUUACUAUAGUAUGAAAUGAUUAUGAGGCAACUUUUCUCCUCCCAAUUACAAGAACAUAGGAGUCGACCCCAAUUCCAUUCAUGAAGCUAUGCAUAGAUGACAUUCUUUUCAGUUUUGUUCUGAGUUAAUGUCAACAUGCGAUCAACCCCUAGUUUGUUAUUGGAUAUGUUACAGGUUAGUCAAAAUGGCAAGGCACUAGAUGGACUCAAACCAAUAAUCAAAAAUUGGGUUGGACAUAUUUGGCAGCAAUUUAUGGUGGUUGGGUUCUCUCAGAGUGUUUACUCCAAAUCUUCGUGGACUUCUCUAACUAGGGAAGUAGUAGUAAAUACUUAUAUUGAUGAAUAUUAACAACAAAGAUAUCGUAAUCGAGAUUGAAUUAGAGUUGGGAUUGGGAUCGAGACAACGAGAUUGUGACAUGCAGAAUGCUCCUAUGGUUGGGAUCACAGUUUGUACACCUUGAAAUUUAGGGAUCUCUAUCCCAAUAUGUGGGGGAGCUCGACCCAUAUGUAAUUGUAAUCGAGUGAUAAAUUAUACAAGACUGAGCUACAUCUAGUUAAAAAUCAAGGAACCAGAGAGGACCAACUAGUGUAGUUGUAUAGCAUAUACUAUUAUAAAAUACCACAUUGUUAUACAAUACUAUACUACAAUAUUAUGCUAUAUACUACACGAACCUGUUCUGUCAUUCUGCUCUAUUGAGGGUCAUACCCCUCAACCUGACUAUAAGUCACCAUAUAUUUUUUCCCUAUUUUUUUCCAUGCCUUUUUUGGUCUUUCCCUUGCCCUUUUAGAGCCUUCCACUUGAACUACACCACCCCUCCCAACCGGUGUUCAAGGUUGACGUUGCACAUGGCCAGAACACCUAAGUCUAUUUUCCCUCAUCUUAUAUCUUAUCACCUAUUAGAGCCACCCGUAAAUUUCGACGAAUGUAUUCACUUUGAAUUCCAAUAUUUUUUUGUCUUGCCACUCAGUCAUCUCAACAUCCUCAUCUCUACUAUACUAAUUAGAUGGAUAUGUUGUUUCUUGACCACCCAACAUUCUGUCCCAUAAAGCAUGUUAUCAGCGGUUCCAUAGAACUUGCCCUUUAGUUUCCUUAGUAUGCGACAAUCACAUAUGACUCCAAAAGUACAUCUCUGCUUCGUCCAACCAGCUCUAUUUUUAUGUGCGACAUCUUUGUCAGUCUCUCCAUUAUCAUGGAUUAUCAAUCGAAUAUAUCAAAAAAUAAUACAUAAACUAUACUACACCAAAUUGCUAGAUUAUACUAUACUGUAUAGAAUAUAACUAUACUAUACCAAAAUGCUAGAUUAUACUAUACUGUAUCGAAUAUAACUAUGCUAUACCAUACUGCUAAUCUAUCCUAUAAUGUUCUACUACAUUAUAUCUAUCAAUCUUAUCAUACAGUAAUACUAUACUACAAUGUUAAGAACAUAGUUACCCGAAUCUCUAACCAAAUGUCACGAUUUUGAUUCAAAACCCCGAUUUGGCGAUUCCAACUAGAAAUCUUCGUGGAACUAGUUUCUGUGAAGUCUAGAAUCUCGAUUUCUUAUUUCAGGAAUCUCGAUUCCAACAUCUAUAGAAUUGUGUAGUCAUCUUUUUUCCCAUGAAAUGACCAAUAGAAACCAAAGUGGUGAUCCACGUUCUCUACUUAAUUCUUUAAGUAUGCAUUCUAUUGAUCCAAUUGAGAGAUUGAAACUCCAAGAGGUUAGAAAUAAUGUUAUAUAAAUAAUGUAAACAUGCAUGUAUGGCAUGUCAAUCAAUGAAUGACAUUAAGACAUGUCUUGUAUCCCUCUCAGUUAUCUCCCGAUUCCAAUGAUGUCAGAAUCUCGAUUCCAUAAAUGAAGGAAUCUCAACUCCAUAUCAGUCGACUCUAACUAGGUCAUAAACUCCAUUCAAAAGAGCUAGGAAUCUCGAUUCCAUCUAUGUAGCGAUCUCUGUUCUAUUUACUCGAAUCUAAAUUCCUAAAAAUAGGAAUCUCGUCCCCCAUGAUUCCUCUUGUACGGAUGUCGAUUCAAAAAACAAGAAUCUUCUAGUGAGCGGCAAUUUCGCGCUUCAGAUUCAUAAAUCGAUUGGAUUUCUGAAUUCGCUUCAGGUAACUACGGUUAAGAAUGUGGAUCCCGUGUAAUUCAAAACUUCGAUGCCUAAUAGGAAGGAUCAAGAUUCCAAAAUUAAAGAAUCAAGAAGGAGCAAGAUCCCCUUCCCGGAGGCCAUGAUCAAGAUUAGAGAGCUGCAUCGAACACUUGGUAGGUGGAUCCCAGUAGCUAUGGUUAACAACGAUCGUGACCAAGCACUAAUUGUGUUCACAAUUUCAUAUAAUUGAUGCGGAUCAUCUUCGCCAUCUUUAGGCCCAAGGCUGCUUGGUCACAUCAUGCUUCAACAAUUCCAUAGAAUAAUUACCUAUUCAGAUUGUCUUUUCCAUCUUCAAUGCCACCCUUUUCUCAAAACUUGAUAGGAACCUUAUUUAAUUGACAACUUUGUCACAUAACAUGUAUACAACUCAUUUUGUUAGUUCAUAGUCUCUCCAAAGAUGCCAUUCUUGUCAGAUGUCAAUCACGCCAUUCAUUACAUUUGUUCUCACUCUAAGAUCUCCAUAUCUCUUCCUUUUCUUCUUUAGAUCCCUUCAGCUUAUAACCUUUUUUUUCAGCAAUAUAUGAAUACUCUUAAAUUCAUGACAUUUUGCAGCUUGAGAAACAUAGAACGUUCACAAGUUGGGUACUUACUAUGUUGCUGGAAUGGGGAGUAGUUCUAGUAUCUUCCAUUUGGAUUUUGUUGCUUAUCUUUGCACACCAACACCUUUCUACUGGAAAAAUGUCAAACUGGCUUCAAAAUCCUUUCGAUCAUGUUUCCUCGACUAGAUAAAGCACCUUGAGAUUGGGUAGCAAUUUCAUCUAGUAGAAAUUUCUUGAUGCCCUGACCUCAUUACCUUAUGGCUCAACAAUAGAUCAGCCACCCCAUAUUUCCAUAAUGGAUCGGCCAGCAAAUUGAUUUGUUGACCAAAGCUAUGACUUGGGAAUGAAGUUGGUAGCCUUUAUUAUAAUUAUUUCUUUACCCCCCCCCCCCCCCUGGCCUUGAGUCUUUUGUUCAUUAAGGUAUUUGUUAUUUGAGAAAUCUAAAUUUACAUAUAUAAGAUAAUAAAUCGCAUACUACAAGUCCAAUGGCAAUUGAUGCUACAUUCUCUUUCAAGUUUUUGAAAGGCUGAGAUGCAGAUCGAGCACGGUAUAUGUAUUUAAAAAAUUUCCGCAUCCAUACCGGCAAGUCUACUUCCAAAAACCACUUACAAUUAAAAAUAAUAAUUACAAUCUAAAGAUCCUCACUUGCUGGCAUUCAAUAUAACUCUUUUAUUCAUGAAAAAAUAGAAAACUAUAAUAACAAAGUGAAUUAGGAAUAGGGAAGCCUUUUCACCCAAACAAGCUGCCUCGAAUCACUUCCAAAGGACUUUGGUAUACCCCACUCCGAAUCACCUAGCUCGAUAGCACAUCGUUCUCACUCCCUACUGAAUCUCCUUAAGAUGGGUGUCGGCCUUGGACCCUUUUGGCGAGACCAGAAAAUGGGCCUCACCAAAAGGGAAAAAAUAUCCUUUCCCCCAAGCGCAGGCGGGGCCUUGGGCAACAAGUCGGCCGCCUAGGGCCACUAUCCUGUACUAGGCUGAAUUGUCCAAGCGCCGGGUGGUAAGGCCUCCCACCCACCCGCCUAAGCAGGUGGACGGCCAAAUUUUUUAACAUAAGCCUUGACCCAUUCUCUUUUAACACAAAAAGAUAAGAUAUUUGUCCAAAGAUCUUGCAUAUCUUAUCACAAUUAUCACAAAUCAUCUAGAAGCUUUUCAAACCUUCUUAAUACUUAUCCAACCUUUCCUAACUUUUCCAAACAUCUUUCAAGAUAAUUACCAAUUCCUUGGUCAACAAAAGCGGAAACAAAAGGAAAGAAAGGGGUUUGUGGCCUGGGAGCCAUAGUGAGCCCCACGCCCCAUGCCUAAUGGGCCUUCCCACAUGUGGGCCCUUGGCCACAAGGCUCCACAUGGGUCAUAGACAAUUUUAAAUGCCCAAAACAAAUUUCUGAACCAUUCUUAAGUAUUUUUAAAACGUCAUGUAAAUUAAAAAAUUAUGAUGCAAAAAUAAAAUAUAUAAUGCAUUUUAAAAAAUUUAUUUUUGUGAUUAAUAAAUUUUCUAAAACAUAGGCAAACAUGAUGGAAAGAUAAUCGGAUCCAUCAGGUCAGGAAUAUGUAAAAAUACUAAGAUACCCCACUUAUGCUAGUUCUCGUAGUCCAUCGUCUUACUUCUCAAAACAACCUAAUGGAACCCAUGAACUACAAUCGAUCACAAGAGCUGAUGCUAGCCUAUCAAAGUUGGCAAAUAAAUAAAGGGAACAUGGGUCUAGUGCGUGGAUUACAAGUUUCCCCCUAUGGAAAAGUCACGUCUCACAUAGACGUGUACACACUAUUGCUAUGGCCAAGGAACCUCUCUUUAGCACAUGUAUAUAUAUUACCCAAUGGGUCGCUUCCCAUAGAUACAGCUAUUAUAUGUACAUGGGCGGUGGUAAUGUCAAAGAUUUGGCCCUUGCUCUGACAAGGUACCAACUGUACACAAGAGACAGGUAACCUCCUAGUUAACCUUUCUAGGAAUCUUGACCUCAACAAAGGCUAACCCUCCACGGUUGUGCCUUAUGACCACGGCAAAAUGGUUCUGAACUCCACUCUCAGACCUAGAUCGCUCAACCUGGGAAGCUAACGAGCACCAUGUAACAUGCCUCAGGCCCACAUGGACCACCCUCCCACAGGAGUACAAUAUCACUAUAGUCAUAAUUUUUACAGGCUCUCAAGGCCUUUAAAGGCCUUAUGCCCCAACAGUUUCAAGUCACACAAGAUUUGCCAAACAUAUUAUGCCCACUCGAUACAAAGUUGCAAAUCAAAUAUGCUAGUUUCCAAGAAAAUACCACAAGAAAUCCAGGAAAACCUGAUGAUACAUUAAAGAAAUAUUAAUUUCUCGUUUUAUUUCUCAAAACCAGUUCAGCAAUUCUUGCCUCACUCGUUUACGCCACUUGCUCUUGGUAUGCUUCUCAAAUGAUAGGCUCUUGCAAACUAGGAUUAUAAAUAUUUGUUGAGAACCUUAUUUCCAAUACUUAACAAGAAAACAAGUUGUCCUAUGAUUUUUAAAUAGAGCAAAAGGAGGCAAGUAGUGCCCCCAGACUCACAAUGCUUACACAUCAUCUGCAUUAUUCCAGAUUGUUGAUCACUCUCCUAAGCAUGCCUUACUUGAUCCAACUACAUCGGUUACUCAAACACCAAAGCAAUUCCCAGAUCACAUCAAUAUUAGGAUAGAAGGAUCAAGAAAAUAACAUCAAAUAAAGCAUAACCAAUUGCAAAAGAAUAAGGAACAAUCUUUUCUUUCGAUACGGGAACUAACAGUUUAAGAAACAUGUGGUCAAAAAUGGUAAAAAUCCACUAAGAGAAUAAUAAAUAAUUUGAACAGAGGCCAUUGAGGCUCUUUGCAUUUAGCAAAAUUAUUUCUAAUCUUGCUAAUGAAGUCCUUUCCCUCUAUUGCUCUCUUUUGUUCAUACUUUCCGAGGGACUCCGAUACAAACUAUAAACAAAAAUAAACACACAAACACCCUCUUCUUACUUCCUUUCAUAGAAAAACUGCUUUCGAAAACAAAAGGAAAGGUCGAGAGUUUUUUGCCCCCCCCACCCUUUUUUUUUUUUGUCAUCAGAAUUGAACUUUAACAUUCUACAUAAACAUGAACUCAUGUAGACAUAUUACAGAAAAGUAUAUCUAUGCAAAAUGCAUGGCAAAAGGGCCCCACUCUCAAUCUAUUAUCCCCAUUCUCUCUCAUCCAGCUGUUACUCUCUUUCAGAAUUGCUAGAGUUUCCAUGUCUUCUCUCUCCAAGUCCAUGCCCUUACUCAACUCCAUGGAUCCACUCAUAAUUUCCUCGCUCCACUUUCUCACUCUUCUUUCAUGCCUUAUAUUUCUCACACCUUCGAACUAGCAUUCUGAAUUGCUGAAAUUGAACCAAUUUUUCUCUUCGUCAUGGUUCAUCACAAACUCAAAUGGCCAAGUCUUCCGAAAAAAAUUCGAAGAGAACGAACAAUAUCUCUUUUUCUCUCUCUAGAAUAUCUAAUAGAGUUCUAUCAAUGAGGAACCAUCUUCUCCUCCACCUUCUCCCUCAUCCUUUACGGCAGUUGUUGCAACGAAGAUUAAUACUGAGAAGAUGGGUUUUAAUCCUCUAGUCUUUUAGAUUAACAAAAUGGUGGUGAUCAACCAGAGGAGAAAAACAAGUGGCAAGAAAAUGAUUGGAACGCUUAUGAUGAGCUCAAGAUUUUAUGGGGACUCCUAUUGACGCAGCCAUAACAUUGGAGAAGAAGAGAGGUGAUACCAUGCUCAAUGAACCUGACAGAAAAUCUGGUCAUAACCCAAUAACUAGCUUCUCAUCUUCGCUGAUUAAAGACAGUUUGGUUAGAGAGGGGUUUUGAGAAGGCAAAGGGAACUUUUAUUAGCGACAGGGAAGAGAUAGAAAGACAGAGAAAGGGAAACUUUAAUAAAUGAAAGAAAAGAGAGAGUAAUAUGAAGAAAAAGGGAGUAAGUAGAAGUGUGCUCAUGUCUUUUCUAUGCUUCUUUUGCCAAUCAGCGACCAUUAUAGAGACCCGUUAAUUCUGAUAACCGCAUGAUGCAAGACGAAAUUACUCUUAUUUUGAAUUCUUGUUUAAUUCAUAAGGAUGUAUAUUUUAAACUUUAGGGUUUUUUUUUAGGGUUUUUAAAAAAAUUUUGGGAUUCUAGGGUUGUUUUGAUAAUUUUAGCAUUUUAGGAGUUGUUUACAAAAUUAGAUAGAGUGCUUAUGGAAAAUUUUGUUUUAUUAGAGAUAAAAUGUUGUAUGAAUUUUGUUUUGAUUAAACUUUUAUUUCGAUUAGAAUUAGGGUUUCUUGGGCUCUAGGUGAUCUUUUAUUAUAAAUAUAGGUCUAUGUAGAGAAUUUAGAAUAGAGCUAGAAUUGAGUUGGAGAUCUGUUUUCUGGGUUUAACCAAUGCAGAGCCAUUGAAGCCUAGCUUACAGGCUUCCUCAUUAAUUUCCUAAUGAAUAGAUUAUUGAAGAAAGAGAAAGCUUAGGCUUCCAGGAGCCCUAGUUGGGUUGAAGAAGAAACCCUUGGCUGCUUCUAUUUGUUGCUUGUUUUUGGCAUGAAGUUUAUUUACUUCGCUAUUCUCUAUCAAUUUUCCCAUAUCAAUGGUAUUAGAGCCUAGGUUUCCUCAAUAGUAGGGCAAGAAUUUUACAACCAAGUCUAUGGUUGCUGAAUUUGGGCCAUGACGUGUGAAUUUCAGCCAAAUGUUUGUUAAUUUAAGCCCAAGAUUUUCUCAAUUCAUCCUAGAUCUUGUUGAUUUCAUAUUGAUGAUUUUGUACCUAGGGUUUGUGAUUUUGGGAACCCAUGGCAAUAGGAAGAGCCCAAGGAAGAAGGGCACUCAUAGACCUACCCCAUGAUCUCAUAGAUGAGGCGUUUGAAGACCUCAAGAGGCAGGUUUGGCAGCUUACAAGCAGCUCGCAGACAUCAUUCAUGGACAAGACAGUGGUCUUUCCUCCGAAAAAGAUGUCAAGUACGGCCCUUUUCACCGUCGUGCUCCACGUGAAAAGUCAAGUGAAGAUGAGAGUGACAGAAAACGUAGACAUUGAGUGCAUCACUGUAGGGAUGUCAAUUUGAAGGUGGACUUUCUUGAUUUUCACGAGCAUAAUUUGACACAACCAAACGAGAGGUAAUCUCGCUAUGAGUGGAUACAAUUUGGUUCAUGCUAUUGAGGAGGCCGACCAUGGAGAAUCUUUAUUUGCAUCAAAUUGUUUCCAAAAUCAACAAGAUGUAAAUUGGGAUUCAACACCAAUCUUUGAUGCAUGCUAAGAUGAACAACAAGAUCUCUUAGGGGAUCCAAUCCAUGAUAAGGUUCUAGGUGAAGAUAAGAUGUUUCAGAAGAGGAUCUUGUUCAUGAAGACAAUGGAGACAAGGAAUAGGAGGACUAAUCAAAAUAAAAUAUUGAACAUCUCAAGGAUAUCAAAGAGGGGCAACAUUCAAGAUAUCUAGGGCAUUGGAAUCAGAGUAGUACAGUGGAAGCAUGGUCAACUCAUAAACAACAAGUUGUGGCCCUGGAUUCAUAGAGGAAUGAAGUAGAUGACGAGAAACCCUUUAAAAGAAAGUUUUUUUUUUUUUUUUUUUUUAUAAAUGUUAACUUUUGUAUUGCUGUAGGAGAGAAGGUACAAGUUUAGGUUAGUCCGAGAGUGCCCUACUAACCGGGACUCUCGACAAAAAAGAAUAGGUGAACAGACCCUAUACAAAAUGGAGUUAUAAGUAAGUCCCCUUACAAAGUAUACAGUUAGUUUACAAAGAAGCACAAAAAAUAAAUUGCCCGUUCGAAGACAAGUGUUCUCCUAGCAGGAUUAAGUCCCCUUACAGAGUAUACAGUUAGUUUACAAAGAAGCACAAAAAUAAAUUGCUCGUUCGAAGACAAGUGUUCUCCUAGCAGGAUUCUUUGUGACCGGCCCAAUGCAAAAAAGUUAGGGGCCUAGCCUUCUUCAUGGGCCUUGGCUCCGUCCUUCGCCAGCAGAUCCGCAAGCUCAAUUAUCUAAAUGCCAGAAAAUUGAGUUUGCAGUUUCCUAUAGGAUUUUCAAUGCGAGUUCUAACAUAGCCAAAUUUCAUAAAUUUGUAUUGAUUGCUCAAUAUACAUAUCAGGAUCUGUUUCUUGAGGAUUUCUUCCUACCACAAAUACUAUUUGAGCCAACAAAGAAGGGGGUUGAAGAAAGUGGGUUUAAUGCUGAAUUUAUCUUCACCUAAUUCAAAACUCGAGGGCAAGUCUUCUCCAACCAUGGGAGACUGAUGUAGGAUAAAAAUUUUAUUUAAUCUCCAAGGAUGUAUAUUUUACUUUUAAUUUUAGGUUUAUUUUUUGAUUUUUUAAGUGUUUUUAGGAUUCUAGUUUUUUUUAUAUUUUUGGUAUUUUAGGAGUUCUUUAGAAAAGUAAUUAGAGUGCUGGUGGCAUAUUUUGUUUUAGUUAAGGUCUUUUAAUUAUAAGGAUUUAUUGGGCUCUAGUUAAGGUCUUUUAAUUAUAAAUAUGGUCUAUCCAUAAAAUUUAGAAUGGCGAGAGACAUGAGUUAGAGAACUUUCUUUCUGGUUUAAUCAAUGGAAAGCCAUUGAAGACUAGCUUGUAGGCAUCCUCUUUAAUUUUCCAAUCAAUUGAUUAUUGAAAAAGAGAAAGCCUAAGAUUUUUGGAACCCUCGUUGGGUUUGAAGAAGAAACCCUAGGCUUCUUCUAUUUGUUGCUUGCGCUUUGCCUGAAGUUGGCUGAUUUUACUAUUCUUUAUCAAUUUUUCCACAUCAUCGAAUGCCUCUGAGAGUUGCGGAGAACAGAAAUCCAAAGCUCCAACUUCUAGAGAGAGAGGCCGAGAUUGAUCUGAGAGUUCUAGACCAGCCGGCCGAGAUUGAAGAAGCCAUUAUAUCCUUCUUCAAAGCGUUGUACUCUGCCCCAUAGGGACCUAAACCUAGGAUGUCCGACCUCCGAUUCCUUUCCCUUCCAGCAAAUCAGGUUAACGGCCAUUUUUUGAACCCAAGAUUAUCACAGCCUUAGCGGAUCUUGGAAGAGAUAAAUCCCGAGGACCUGACGGAUUCCCCCUGGCACCGUUUAAGGAAUUUUGGGGAACCUUUAGAAUUGAUUUCUUACUUUUCUUUGAAGAAUUCUUCCACCGAGGUAUAAUUCACAAAGCUAUGAAUGCCACUUUCAUGGCCCUCAUUCCCAAAAUUGAAGGUGUUGAAGAACUAAAGGACUUCAGACCGAUCAGUUUAGUGAACUCCUCUUACAAAAUCCUUUCCAAAGUGCUCGUUUUUAGACUCAAAGAGGCCCUUCCUCUCGUGAUCUCACCUUUCCAGAGCGCCUUCAUUAAGGAAAGGCAAAUUCUUGACAGAGUUUUGAUAGCGCAUGAGUGACUAGGAGAAGGCCUACGAUCAUGUCGAUUGGGCCAUCCUGGAAGAAACUAUGACCCAGAUGGGCUUGGGUGAGCAUUGGAGAAAGUGAAUGAAAGGUUGCUACUUCAGACCCUUCUUCUCAGUGUUCAUCAAUGGUACAUUCCGAAAGGUUACUUCCCCUCGUCGAAAGGGCAUCAUCAAGGAGACCCCCUUUCUCCCUUUCUCUUCUUUAUAGUUGUUGAGGUCUUCAGCCAAUCUAUCACCCGCAUGUACUAGUCUGGCCGGCUAACAAGCUUCAAGAGUAGCGCAAGGUACCCUGUCGUUACCUACCUUCAGUAUGCUGACGACACCCCUGUGUUCCUCAAUGCAGUGCCCCAGGAAGCAGCAACCCUUGCUCUUGUUUCUCAAAUGCUUCAAUUUUGCAACGGGCUUCAAGGUGAACAUGGGAAAAUCCACCAUGAUCGGGGUGGAACUCUCUUUGUCAGAUACGAGAGCUCUCAUCCCGAAAUGGGAAUGCAAAGUCGAGGACUUACCCACUAGUUAACUUGGCAUGCCACAGGAUCUUGGCAAACCCAAAAAGAGGCAGUGGUCUCACGUGAUUGACAAGGUCGAUAGACAGCUUGCAGGGUGGAAAGGAAGGCUCCUUUCCUUCAUUGGGAGAUCUACCCUGAUCAAAGCAACCCUGGCCAAACCUUUGGCUAGGACAUACCCCUUUUAGGGACCUCUUCCCUUCUCUCUUCUCCCUGGCUACAAACGCUUCCUCUUCUAUUGCAAAGGAGAUGCCCAUCUCAGGAAACAUCAGAGUCUGAAACCCUGCCUUUAGAAGACCACUUAAUGGCUCCGAAAUUGAAGAAUUCCUCUCUUUGUAGUCCAUCUUGAGCUCAUCAUUCUUAGCUCAUAUAGGACCUGACCGCAUUUUCUGGACCCCUGCCCCCUCACGAUCUUUUUCAAUAGCCUCCUUUUAUAAGAAACUCCUCCAACCUCCCACUUUCCCUCUUUCUCCGAGAUCAUUUCUGGCCCAAGUCUUGUCAUCCUUUGCACCUCCAAAAGUGCAGGCAUUCAAUUGGAUAGCUUGCUCCAAGAAGACCCUAACAGUGGACCAAUUACAACGGCGGGGAGUUUUUAUCCCUAGCCACUGUGUAAUGUGCACAAAGGACAAAGAAUCAAACUCCCACCUCUUCAUUCACUGCAAGUUUGCUUUUGAGCUCUGGAGUAUCCUGCUCCAUCUCUUCGGCUUCUCGUGGGUAACCCCUCCUAUUCGAGCUGUCUUUAAUAUUGCAAGGGAGUCCCAGUGGCCUCCAGCUGGGAGGCUACUCUGGAAAACCUCCAUUGCAGCCACCAUUUGGGCAAUUCGGAUGGAGAGGAAUUCAAGGAUUUUUAGAGGAAACAAUGUGAAGUUCUCGGUUUAUUCCGCAAAAUAACCUUUGAUCUAGCAUUUUGGGCUUCCAAUCACAAGGCCUCCAAAGGACUUUCAGCCUCCUCUUUCAUAUACCAGUGGAAGGAAAUCUUACAAACCCAGUCACCUAGGGUGCAUAGACCGAGCAACUGGUCUGCUCCCCCGGAGGGCCAUACCAAGCUUAAUUUCGAAGGUUGCUCCUUGGGCAACCCAGGUCCGGAUGGAGUAGGUGGGGUCUUUCGCGACCACCUUGGCACUGUUCUCGCCUGCUACUCCAAAAACAUUGGCCACUCAGACUCCCAAAUGGUAAAGUCCAUGGCAGUGCUAACUGGUCUCAAGCUUUUCAACCCCUCCUGGCCCCAACCACUCUUAGUGGAAGGAGAUGCAAAAAACGUUAUAUCUUAGGCAGCAGGCUCCGGCCCCCUUCCCUUGUACCUGGCUUCGAUCUUUGAUAAAAUUUAUCACGUUUGCAGGGAUAUCGCCGUCUCAUGGAAGCAUAACUGGAGGGAAUCCAACUACAUGGCGGAUCAUCUCGCUAAAGAUGGAGUGACAGCUAAUAGCUCAGCCUUAUGAGUGCCUGGUUUCUGUUUUAACCUAUCUUUCUCUUAUUGUAAGGGCAAAUUGUUGUGGCCAAUUCUUGACUUUUAUUCUAUUUAUCAAGGUGGCUUCUUUUUUGUAUAACACCAGACCUUUUUUUGUACAGGAGUACCCUUCCAAGGAACUCUAAUUCUUUUUUGGGGAUGAGGCCUAGCUUGUGGACCACCUUCGCUACCCAUUGUACUUAAUCUUUCUCUCUUAAUACUACAGUUAACAGCUUAAAAAAAAACACUUCUAGAGGGAGAGAGAUUGUAUAUUACAAUAAGAGAACUCCAGAUAAUGAUAUGGGAUGUCGGUUUUCUCUUUAGAAUUUAAGAGCCAGGUUAGACGAGAACUCCCCAUUGACAGUAGAUGAAGCCAGUUUUAGAGAGAGACAUCUCACCUUUGUGCAUGCAAGGCUUUAAGGGAGAUCAAACUGUUAUUGCGAGCUGGUCCGAGUAUAGUUGAGAGAGAGAAAAUGGUAACACAGUGGAAGAGAGCAAAGAACGUGGCACUGGGUCUCAGCUUAUGGAACACAAUACCACAAACACCCACCAGAAGAAACGCAAACCAAGUGAAGCAAGGCCAAGCCCAAAGGUGUGUGUGCAAACCUAAGCCUAUUCUGGAGUGGUGGGUCUACUACGCCUAGGCUUCAGACCCACCCAACCCAGUGUUGAGCCCAACGCUCAAACCUCAACAAUGAAUAACCCCAUGGCUUGCUCUUUCUCACCCAUCAGCAAACUCAAGGCUCACACCCAUGAACCUAGUGGUCGAGUUACAAAGGUUGCUCCUCAAGAGCAUGAGAAGCCCCAGCCUCACUGACGUCUCGAAUCCAUAGAGACCUCAUUCACCACCUUCUUUCAUGAUCCUAUUCAGGUAUCCUUUCAUCCGGAUUAAGUUACAAAGAGGAAAGAGAGAAUGUGUGAGAGAGGGAGGGAGAAGAGGCAAAGCAAGGAUGAUAUAAUAUGAAAAGGAAUCAACUAUUGAAUUUUUCUCUCUAAACCUUUUGGGCUUUUCAAGACAAAUAUCUCUCACAUUUUCCAUGUAUUUGGCAUUGAUCUAUCUUUUGUAAUUUGGCUACAUGAGUUCAUGUUUGUGUAGAAUUGUGAAUUUAAAUAUAUAGGGUUGUAAAAACCUUAUUUUAAAGAGAGAACUUCCUUGAACAAGAAGGGGUCAAGAGGCUUUGAGAAUUGGCCAACUACACAACUUUGUUUCUUUCACUUUCUCGCGUCAUCAUUUUUUUUCUCUCUUUCCAUUUCAUUCAUCAAAAACAUCCAACCACCCUUCCCAAUUAAGAGGAUUUUGGACCCCCCAAAGUUAUAUUAGCCAAAGGAAAAUUCUCCUCCUCCACUUUACCCAUGGAUAAACUUACCGCGAUUAAGGCAUUUCAUUUUAGGGAGACCCCAAAAUUCUUUCUCCAAGAGUAACCACACCACAUCUCCAACUUGAAACCUAUGUUUGGCAUGAUGCUUGUGAUCAUGCACCCUACACUUGUGAUGAUGUGCUGUAUGAUUCCAUUGAAUUUGUCUUAGGUUCUUGUCCACUCUAAGUCGAAUCAACAAUGUGGACCUACGAACCAUACAACCUUUUGUAUUAGUAAACAAUUCAACUAUUACUUUCCUUGUGAAAUGACUGUCACAUGAUGCAUGCAAAAGAAAAUCAGAAUAAACCUCAAAAGAUGAUAAUAAGUCCUGAGUUGCACUACGAACCCAUUGAGAAAAAAAAGAAAAAGAAAAAAGGUAAAUGGGUCUUAUGUAGCAAAAUUGCACAUAAUUGCAGAAUUCCCAUCCCAAUAGAUGCCUCUAACCCCUAAAUAGAUAAAAUAAACCCAUUCUUUCUUUGACACAGCCAUGAAAGAACCUGCUGGUUCUGAAGCAUGUCAUUCUACUUCAUCCGCUAGCUCUUGAACUUACAUCUCUGUUUCAUCAUAUUGAAGAACUGAUUGACGAUGCAUGCCAAAUAUAGAGUAACACCGAGGAAUCUUGUUUCCAAACUGAAAGCCACUCCAAUUCCUUCCUUUCACAAGAGAAUGUUCAAUAUUCUUAUACUCUCUAGCAUGGAUGUGAAAAUAAUGGUUUCAGGACAACAUGCAAUUUUUACCAAUAUUUAACACUUGUAGAGCCUGCUUGUUCGGCUUUUAAGGAGAGCCAUCUUUAGUUUUGGCUAGAUAUAUGCCACAACCUUCACCAGCCUUGACUAGCCUCCAAAUAUUUUUUUCUCCGGUAAAAGAUAGCAUAGUCAUAGGACCCAUACCACAAAUGGGGACUAUUCGAAGCAAACUGGAAAUUGCCAAAAUGGAUUGCUAUGACAGCUAACCUCAUAUUUAAACCUUCUGAUUAUGCAAACUUGAAAGUACAUUACGAUUAAAACUGAAGAAAUAUUGUGCAAUAGCAAAAGUAAAUAAGAUUAGGGAUGAGAUUUUGACUUCAAUCCAAGUAACUCUGCUAGCUUAUAUGAUGUAAGAUUCUGACAUAAGCUAAAAUCACAAUAGCCAGAUAUGGAAGUCAUUUGAAAUGGAAUCUACAACCAAAAGCUCCCCUUUGGUCCAACUGUUUCAACUUCAAUCAUCAGCUCUUGCUGGAGUAACCACCUUGAAAGUAACUUGACAUUGAUUACUAUUAUGGACCAUAAACUAUGAUGCACAGUUACUUGUAUAUGCUUAAUGUGCCGAUGCAGUAACAUGUCGAUACUGAUAUUGAUACUGAUACUGAUACUGAUACUGAUAGAGGAAACUGCCAGGAUAAAUUAUCAAUAUUGAAUGGCCUAAACAUAAAAAAUGCAAGAAUUAUGCAUUAGGUACGGUCUAGAUUAGUAUAAAUGUGCUACAUCCAUAUAUUUUUGUACUAUGCAAACUAUUUCAUAUGUUUAUGGAUGUGUUAGGAUCAUCGUAUACAUAUCUGUAUCCUAGAUUUCAAGAAAUGUCAAGUUGCAUCCCCGUUCUAUGCAUCCAUGCCCAUAUCUGGGCAUCCUAGAACAUGCAUGCAACUUUUCAUUAGUUCAUUUGGAUACAUUGUCAACAUUGAAUGGCCUAAACGUAAAAAAAAUGCAAGAAUUAUGCAUUAGGUACAGUCUAGAUUAGUAUAAAUGUGCUACAUCCAUAUAUUUUUGUACUAUGCAAACUAUUUCAUAUGUUUAUGGAUGUGUUAGGAUCAUCAUAUACAUAUCUGUAUCCUGAAUUUCAAGAAAUGUCAAGUUGCAUCCCCGUUCUAUGCAUCCAUGCCCAUAUCUGGAUGUCCUAGAACAUGCAUGCAACUUUUCAUUAGUUCAUUUGGAUACAUUGUCAAUAUUGAAUGGCCUAAACGUAAAAAAAUGCAAGAAUUAUGCAUUAAGUACGGUCUAGAUUAGUAUAAAUGUGCUACAUCCAUAUAUUUUUGUCGUAUACAUAUCUAUAUCCUGGAUUUCAAGAAAUGUCAAGUUGCAUCCCCGUUCUAUGCAUCCAUGGCCAUAUCUGGGCGUCCUAGAACAUGCAUGCAACUUUUCAUUAUUAGUUCAUUUGAAUAUUCAACCAUCUCAUCUUCGCCAUACAUGAGAAUUGACAUAAAGUUUCAUUAGUAAAAAAAAAAUUCUAUUAUUGGAAGAUGGAGACAAGUAAUUUGCUCAAUACAUCAUAAAGAUUAUAGAAUCCUAUCUCAGAGCACAACUCACCACACAAAACCUGGGAUGAGUCAUUAGAUUACCAGAAUACCCCUAGAAACCCAGCUAGUUAGCCUUAUCCAAACCACAUCCAAAAUAGGUUAAAAACCAAUGUUUGCAAAAUCAAACAGGAACGGUUAACCGGACAUGGGCCCGGAAGCAAUUUAACCGGCUUAACCGGUCCGAUCGAUUCAACAGUUCUAACCGGGCAAGUCCCGGGCAGCGAAAAAAGAGUUGAAAAAAAUAAAAAAGAUACAAAACAAAAUAUACCAAAAUAUGAAAAGCAUAUGAAGAAUGAUUAAAACAAAACACAUUCAAAUGAAGUUGAAAAUUAAUGAAAAAAUGGAUUUUAAAGAAGCUAUUUGUGCCUAGGGGUUUUAAAUUUUUUUGAAAAAGAUGGGAAAAUAUAAAAGUGAGUAUUAAUGACCAAAACAAUUUUUGAUCUUAACCAUAAUGUAAAGAAUAUUAAAAAAUGUAUUACAAACCAAAUUCUUUAUUUUUAGGAAUUUAUAUACAUUUUUUAAUUUUUUGUUUAAAUACGGGCUGAUCACUAAAACCACCCGAAACCGAAACCGGCCAGUGGCCAGUUCCGAUCUAACAGGGAAGUUACCGGUUAGAUCACCCGAUUUUUCCAACAGUGUUAAAAACUAUACUAACUUGAAGGAAAUAGAGCAAGUACUAAUCUAAUACACCAUUUUAAAAAUUUAACCGAUUUAUUGAAGAAUUACAAAAGUUAUAUAUAGUCCUUCUAGUAAACUAUGUACCAGAUCCAGUACGCCUCGUACUGAAGAUCAAUUUCAUGGGUCCCUCCCCUCGGAAAAUGGUUUGGAAGUUUCUAAAAGGAUUCUAAGAGAGUCUGCAUGUGAUUUAAUGCUUUUUAAUCAGGGGAUCACAACCAUUCAAAUGAAACACUCCCUUGUCCUCAUCCUAUAAAUACCCUCCUUGAGUCCCAAUUACAUCCGCAGCCCCAACGCGAUACCCAACCCAGUCUCCUAGAGUUCCUACUUCUGAACUGUUGGGCUAACCACGAAUCCCCAAUCCUAUCUAAUCCCAAAUAAGUCCCAAGUACCCAAUAAGCCUCUAAUGAGCCCCAAUUGUCUCAAUUAGCCCUAAUUAUUCCAAUUCUAUCCAAAAUUUGCAACUCUAGAUCUCCAAAUCUUUUAGUUCCUUGCCACAAAUUUUUGAACCCUUACUCCACAUCCUUGAAUCCUAAUUUUACCCCAAAGCCUAGUUUUCAUUACCCUAGACCUAAAUAGUACGCAAAGAUUACUACAUAGAUCUAACCAAAUCUAACCAUAUCAACCUUUAAUCAUCUUAAUUACUUUUUCAUAUCAUUAUCUAGGGAACUUGCGUAAGUCCGAUUGAACUUCCUUUUGCCCAGCAAGGUAAUUACUCUCCUCUUCUUUAUUAUUUAGUUUAAAUUUAGUAUUUAGUCCAUUUUUAGAGAUGGGCCAUUUCAGUGUCAUGCUAGAAGGCAGCUUUAAGAUUUGCUGGCCAUUGCCAAAUCCUAAGUAUCAGGCCUUGGUAGGCCCGUACAUGAUUGGGCGAAAGAAUGUAUCCUUAAGUUGCCCACUGACGGCACCUUGAACCAAACACGCCCUCUUCGUAGGUUGAAGGUUUUGAGGGAACUCUUCUCCUUUGAUUUCACAUUGCCUUCAAAUAUUUCUUUCAAAAUCAUAUUUUUCAACUUUUCCAACAUUUCCCUCCCUAUUCAGUCGUAGACAAGGAUCAAUCACCUUUAAUUUCCCAUUCUGGCAUUGAAUUUAAGACUCAAACUGUAUUGACCUAUUAUUCAAGAGUUGUCCUUCAAGAGUUGAUGACCUUGUAUGAACACGCUACCAGAAAAUCAACCAGGCACUGACACCAAAACCUGAGUCGGAUCUGCUAGUUAGUAGGAACAGGACCAUACAAUAAAAUAAAAUAAAUCCAUCACAAGAUAACAAGGGACAAUGACCUUUUUUUUUUAUUGGGGAACACUCACUUCUAAACGAUGGCAAAAUUUCCACCAAGAGAACAACAAAAUAUUCAAGGACACUACUUAUUGAAUCAUUACAAAUCUUCUCUCCCAUAUCAGCCUUCUGAUUCUGACUAUCCCUCUUUCUAUCCUGAUUAUCUUUUCUAUGGGGCCAGUGCAAUGAAGACACUCCCAUAAAAGUAAUAAAAAUACUAAAUCCACUUCUCUCUUCCCCUUCUCAUCUCUCCAGCAUAUUACAUCUUUGCAUUCUUCAUUUUUUGACAUAGAGAUGACUCAAGAUAACUACAAUUCAAGCCAAGAAUAACUGAAUAAGCACAUAGAGAAGGUUCACUAUUUCAUACAGGGAAGAGUUCAAUCUUGGGGGAAGCAACAAUAUAACUACAUCCAUCAUUUUGGAGGAUGACCCAAAUAUUACUAGCCCAAGGAUCAAAUUGACAAGACUACUGCUAACAUUUCAAAGGGGCCCCACCAAUAUCUAGCACUUGAGAGUCUCAUAUUUAGGCUUGCCAUGGAGUAAUUACAUGUAUUUCACAUAACAUAUUUCUCAAGGGUUCUUUAUAUGACUUCUGCCAGCAUAUGGUGAAGUUGAAGGCAUAUUGUCAGUUCCAUACAUGUUUAUGAGCAGCUCAUGGCCAUUUCUUACUGUCCAAACCUAUUUCUGGCGUACCUCAAAUGACUAAUAAUCAAAUUCAUUCUCUCGAAAAUUUGCAUUGGAAAAAAUGGCAGGGUGGAUUAGAAUUACCUUCUAAAUAAGCACCAAGAGUGAUUGGCUGUCAACUGAAUAUGAAAUCAAUUGGCACUGAUAUGAUGAUGUCCAAUAACUAAAAUUUGGGCUGCUCCUAGUCAUGCAAACAAAGUUUGGUUGGAGGUUCAUGGGUCAGUCUCACAAUUAAGGCAAAUCAUGAGGGUCCACGGGUGGACCUAGGAGGGUUUUUUGCAAACAAUAAAGGAACCGUAAAUGCAGAUCAGCAAGAACCUCAAAGGAAAGCAUAAGUGACUUAUAGGAUAGUAAAGGUACCAUAAGUAACUUAUAGGAUAGUAAAGGUACAUGAAAGGUACGUGAAUUUAAAAAACAAUACUAAUUGAAAAAUAAAUGGAAGGUCUUUAAACAAAGUAUGGCUCUAAGGGCUUCAAGAACAUCUUAACAAGGGCACCACCAUUCAUUACUAAUACAUCACGUGCAACCCCUCAUACUUCAUGAUAACUCCAGAUAACAUGUGUGUUCUCCAUAUCAUCCAUCAAUGUAUGCAAUGGAGCUUCAUUGAGGCAACUUUCUCAUGCUUCUAUUUCUUUAGACAUUUCAUAGCCAUUUGGCUUCGGAUUAAGCAAUUUUUCAAAACAAUAUACAAGGAAGUAGCUCCUAUCUUAGUGGGUUCCACUCUCAUAUAAUUGAAAAGCGAGAAGAAACCCUAGAGAGUCCAAGUUCAAUGAGCAUAAUGAUCCAUUUCAGGCACUCACGUGAAGAAGACUUGGCUCCAUGCUCUUCUUAAAGAUUUAGGUUUACCUCAAUGGACUCAAUACCACUACAUAGUGACACCACCAGCGCUAAUUAAACUAUCUCGAAGCCAACAGCUAAGGACAUGACAAAAGUCGAUUAAAGAUCAAUACUCCACUCUAGAGAACUGUCUCGUUUUUUUGAGAGAUUCUGGAGAACUAUCUCUUACACCGUUUUUUAAUAUUUAUAUUGAAUUCUACGAGAACGUAUCCAAAACAAAUCAAUGAGCAGUAUGAUGAAAGAGAGUAGAAUGGAAGAAGUAGAUAGUCUUGGGAAGAUCUUUAAAGAGCUCUGUAUAGAUAGAGAAAACAAUGUAUAUAUCCGUUAUUUUUAGCUUUAUUACAGAAUACCACGAAGUUUAUGUUAUUACAUGCAUAUAUCUUUCUUGUCUAAUAUCAUCCUUGUCGCAUAUAAAUUUUGCACAAAAAUUAUGCAUUUAUACUUCAUAUAAAGAUUAGGCCAUAAGCACCACUAAUCAUUGAAGGCAUAAGCAAAAAACCAAAUACAGCAAAAAAGUUCAAAAUUUCCACCUUAAAAAGUGUUGAUUAAGCUUAGAUCAUUCCAUAAUAAUGCAAAAAAAUCCAUCCAUUAAAGUCAUUGUAUUUGAUUCCAUAAACUACUAUCCUUCAAACAAAUUGACAACGAAAUUCGAAAAUAGUGCGCAUAAUAACAAUUCAUUACUCAACUAAGAAGCUCUAAAUCGACAUAUUAUACAUUCUAGGAUUCUGAAAUCGACCCUCAAAUCAACAUUUUUCACAUACAUACCUUCUCCCUAAAUCUAAAAUCCGUCAAAUAAAGUCCAAGAAAUCGACCCUCAACCUUCCAUCCAGAUCUGAGACAAUAUUUCUACAGAGCAAAGAGUGGGAUUCUUCAUGGAGAAAGGGGCUUUUGGGCGGGAGAAAGGGGGAGGAGAGUGUGAGUGAAACAGUGGAGGAGAGAUGGCGCAGGGAAAAGGGGUUUUUUUUCUCUAUUGUAUCAUUCCCUGUGGAAUUUGCUUGGUGGGUUUCUGUAGUUUCUACAUGUUGAUUUUGCAAUUUCAUCUUUUGCUCGCAGUGGUCUCGAAGUGGGCUUCAUAAUAGAAACCACAAUGGGUUCCAUAUUUUCAUGGCGAUAAGGAUUUGGGUUUUCUUUAAAUUGUUCCAUUAUAUCAUUCAUUGGGGAAAAGUUUAGCAACUAUUUUUUAUAUGAUGGUGUUUGUGUGUUUUUUAGCUAUUUUGUUCCUUGACCUUGAAUUUCAUUGGUUUCGCUGUUCUGUCCAAUCUUCUGGACCUCCAUCUUUUUGCUAUAGUUUUAAAUUAUGUAGUUAUGUAAAUAUGGGUUUCAUAAGAUUGUCUUCAAUUUGAAUCAAUCAUGUAAGUAAUUCAUACAAUAUCUAUAGAUAGAUAAGUAUGGAUUUCUCUAUUCUCUGUAUGGAAGUUUAUAAAUUUAUAUACUCGUUUGCUUUUAUUCACACUAGUAUUGUUUAUCUAGGAUAUCCAGUGUGUCAUGGAAUUUGGAUUUGCAACAUUUUAUGAUUGAGUUUCGCAUAUGAAACCUUAUGAUUAACUUGGUGUACAUAUGGGAUUUCAGUGAUCAUGAAUGGUACCCAUCCAGAUGGGGUCUAGUGAAGAAGUCCUGAGGACCCGAGUUUGCUGCAGCUGUAUAAGACACAUACGUCUUAUUAUAUUUUGCAAGGACAGGUAUAUGAAUAAAUUCAUCUUCUAUGUCCAUUAGUUCAUCAUUUUUUUUUAAAUUGUAGUCUUUCUAAAUAACAUAUGGGAAGUAUAUGUAUCUGUAUAGUGACCCACAUGUUGUCUAUUUGUUGUACUUCAGGGAAAAUUGGAUAUCAGAAUUGACAAGAAAACCCAUCAAUUGGAUGAUUGGGAUCUAACUAAUGAACAAUUCGACCUAGUGAGCAUGUCUAGAUUGGGUGCUUUGUCUUAUAGUUACCCGAAUCGCCCACUAGGGUGGCGAUUCCAUUUCGGAAUCUCGAUUUCGUGUUUCCCAGGACGAAACUCGAUUCUGAAACAAAGGAAUCACGUUUCCAAGUUUCUCGAAAUGCGAUUCAAUUUAGUUUAUGAAUCUCGGUUCUUAGAAACCUGGAAUCAAGAUUCCACAUCGCAGACUUUGUGAUUCUUAGCUACACAAUAAUGUGAUUCUACUUGUGCAAAACAUUGAUUCCAAAUUUUUAAGAAUUGCGAAUCUGAAGUUGUUGCACACGGCAUUAAAAUCAAAGUUUUAAAUAUGGGGACUAUGUGAAAUUUAAAGAAAACCCAAAUCCUUAUCGCCAUGAAAAUAUGGAACCCAUUGGGUUUAGGUUUAGAAUGAAUCUAAAACCCACCCUUAAAAGCUUUUAUUUUCUAAAAACUAAAUACUAAAUAAAAUUCAUUUCAGCCCCAGGGCGGAGCGAAGGCCCUAGGGCUGGCCGCCUAGGCUUGGGCAAUGCGCCCACGCCUUCUGGACCGCCUAGGCGCUACGCGGUCCGCGUUUUGAAACAUUGCCUGUAAGUAUCAACUUCGAUUGAAUUACUAAUAAAUACUAGCAAACAAAAUAUAAUUAUUGAUUAAUAUCAAUCGUUGAUUAAUAUCAAUUACUGAUAAAUGUCAAUUUCACUUAUGCAUAUUAGUAAAUAUGCUAUUUACUGAUAAAUAUCAGUAAAUAUCAACAAAUUUCCAAAUUGACCAAUAAAUAUUAGUAAUCAGUAAAAUUAUUUUUUCUUAAUAAAUACCAGAAUUAUCAUUUUCUGAUAAAUAUCAGUAUAAACCAUUUUCUGAUAAAUAUUAUAUUCUAAAUAUCAGAAAAUUCCAUUAUUUUCCUAUAAAUAUUACCAUAAUGCAAGGAAAACCAGACUACUGAAUUAUAAAGCAAAACCAGCUAUAUAAAAUUAACAUCACACUAAUUUUCUGAUAUUUCUGUAAAAUUAGUAAACUAUCACAUUUACUGGUGAAAGUUCAGUAAAUACCAUAGUUAAACAUCAGUAAAUAUCCUAUUAACUGUUAAAUGUCACUAAAUAUCAAGUCUACCUUCCAAGAAAUCGAUAACCUUAACAAGAAGGAUAUGAAAGCAAAAAUGAGAAAAAAGAAAAGAAAACACCAUACCUGGAAAUGAAGUCUAGGUCUUGAAGAGAGAGCGCGGAUCGAUGGGGUUAGGGUAUCAAGAGAGUAACAGAAGAGCUCGUGACAAAAAAUGGGGUUUAGAGUUGAAGAGAGAAAGAGAAGCAAGAAUUGGUCAUGGAGAAAGAGAGGGCAGUUACAGAGGAGAAUGGGGGCUUGGGUAGAGAGAGAGAGGGUUGAACGUGGGUUAGAGAGAGAGAAGGACAGAGCAUGGGGCCUUAGGGUGGGCUGUGGUUUUCCCUAGAAAUGGGGGAAAACGUGAGAACGAAUUGCCUCGCCUCUCUCCGCAUUUUCAUGCUAUUCACCGUUAUCAAACUUGGGAAACUCAAACUGGGGAAAGCAACAGUGGCUGAGAAAAUUGAGUUUUUUCUUCUAUUUUUGAGUUAGGAAACACGGCUAGAUUAGGGCUGCCAAUGGACAGGGCCACGCCUCGGGCUUCCAGUCCGGGUCUGAUUUUGGGCAGCCAAUGGGCCGAUAUUGGGCCUCAUCUGGGCCGAGCAGGCUAGAUUAACUCUUAUUUAUGUUUUGGAAAAUUGUUUCAUGUGGGCUAGAUUUUAUUUCUACAUAUGCGGUCUAGAAAGUAUAAAGCAUCUAUUUUAAAGAUGGAUGCCAGUAGGAGUUCCAUCUAAAAAUAAUGAAAACUAGUAGUCUAAAUGUUUCUUACUAUAAUUAUUAUUUUUAAAUUUAUGUAGUUUUUUUAUAUUCAUGAUCUCCAUGUUAGAGAUUACAUGUCUUUAAAAAUUAAAUCUUAAAAUCUAUCUCAAAAAUAGAUUUAUUAAGAAGCCCGCAUUUCUAUAUAUGUAGGCUUGGCCACACAAAAACCGGAUCCUUAAUGUCUUAGGGUAGACUAACUCCUAUUUAUGUUUAAGGUACACUAAAUUUGUCAAAAGUUUUAAGGCAGACUAACUCCUAUUUAUGUUUGACACUUUUGUAAGGUAGAAUAACCCUCAAAGUUUGGUAACUAUCGAUAUCUCCAAAUUUUUGAGGUAGACUUUUAUUUAUGUUUGACAGUGUACUAAACAAAAUCGAACCGGCCUCAGACACUGGCCAAGGGCUGGUUUUGAGUAGCCGGUAAAUCACUCCAUUCAACCAACCUAACCAGAUAAAGCCUAGCUGGUCAAAAAAAUCUGAAAAAAUAUAUGAAAAUUAAAUUUAAAGGAUGAUUAAAACACUGCCCAUCCAAAUGAAAUUGAAUUUUAUUUCAAGUGAAGGAUGAUUAAAACAAAGCCCAUCCAAAAUGAAAUUGAAUUUUAUUUCAAGUUAUUUUGUAAAAAUAAAAAUAAAAUUCAAAUACUACUGGAUCGUGAUUAUCAAGUCGGCCCAGAUUCAAUCUAGCCUGUUGGGCUCAUAUGUUCAGUGAUUUCGGCUACCCUAUUCACCAUCUAAACUUCAUCGCACGGUCACAGUUGUCUGAUAGUGUUUCAAUUAAUUUUUUUUUGUUUACUAAUCGGAAUGAGCUGAAAUUUGGAAUGACCGUCAGAUCAGCCUAGAUUCAAUCUAAGCUGUUNNNNNNNNNNNNNNNNNNNNNNNNNNNNNNNNNNNNNNNNNNNNNNNNNNNNNNNNNNNNNNNNNNNNNNNNNNNNNNNNNNNNNNNNNNNNNNNNNNNNNNNNNNNNNNNNNNNNNNNNNNNNNNNNNNNNNNNNNNNNNNNNNNNNNNNNNNNNNNNNNNNNNNNNNNNNNNNNNNNNNNNNNNNNNNNNNNNNNNNNNNNNNNNNNNNNNNNNNNNNNNNNNNNNNNNNNNNNNNNNNNNNNNNNNNNNNNNNNNNNNNNNNNNNNNNNNNNNNNNNNNNNNNNNNNNNNNNNNNNNNNNNNNNNNNNNNNNNNNNNNNNNNNNNNNNNNNNNNNNNNNNNNNNNNNNNNNNNNNNNNNNNNNNNNNNNNNNNNNNNNNNNNNNAUAUAGGGAUUGUUUACAAAGCGCCCCUUUGUCUUUUGUACAUGAAGGUCACAAACAUUCUUGUCCCUUAAAUUUCAAAAUGAGUGAUUGUAAGAGUGUCAUUGAAUAAACAAAAAUAAUAAUUAUCGGACUUCAUGACUCAUCCCAAGCCAUCCAAUUUGACAUUUAAUGCGUGGGAAUGAUUGUGACUUCCAUGUACAAUAGGAGAAUGGUCUACAAAUUUUAGCAUAUGCUAUUUUUUUGUUCUAAAAAAUUCCUAGGGUAGCUUGAAAAUCUACUUUCAUCUCUAAUUAUAAAAUUUUAAACUCCAAAAUUGAUUCAAAUCAAGUAGAUCUAACAUACAUGAAAAUUUUGAAAAUGGAUGUUCCAGUUCCUGGUAAUGUGUUGUAAGAUCCACUAAUUUUAAGGAAUUAAUAAUUUUUUUUUUAAUAUCCAUACAUCUCAAUAUUGAUAAAAUCAAUUAUAAGGUUUUCCACCAUCAAAACGACCCUUUUCAAAUGAUUUUUGAGGUGCACCUCAAUUCUAUAGUAUAAGGUUGUAACCCAAUAUAAACUUUUUUCGCACACACAUAUAAUAUAAUAUAUGUCGCCAUUUUUGUGGACCCUAUUUUAUUUUCAUGAGCUUUCCCCCCUUCAUUUAGAGAUACAAAUAUAACCACAUUGUCGUGGAAAGUAUAACAUAUCCCAUCGUUCAAGUAAUCAUUGUGCAUUAUUUUCUGAGUGGAAGUUACCACAUCAAUUCAUAUGCCAUCCAAAAACAGGAAAAGGAGUAUAAAAAAUCUGGUGAUGGAUAUUUAUGUUUGGCUGAGAAGGUCGAUAUUUACGUUUCUCGAUGUGCUUUAAAUUAUUGUUUUACAGUUUUAUUCUAAGUUGAAGUCUCUCACUCAAUUCAUGUUUCUUCCUAAAUGGAAAUUGAGAAGUACGGGUGUCGUGGAGGUAACGUAUAAAAGGAAAACUUAUUUUUGGGCAAGUGAUGGAGGGCUUUGGUGAUGACCCUUUGAAAUAGUUUAGGUAAUGAGUAAUUGAAUGAAGGAAAUAACAUAACCAAACCCUUGUUUUUGAAAGGAUUUUGUACUUGGCUUACCUUAGAGCCGAAAGAUAUUCUAGUCCCUUAGGAGUAGGCUGUACAUUUACUCCCUCAGGUAAAACAUAACCUAGAAUUGAUGUUAAGAACUCAAAUUUUGGGAUGCAACCUCUUCAACCCAUAUAUUAAUCUCAAUAAAAAUAAAAAACAACUAAAUGUGCCCUCUAUAUUCUUUAAAAAAAUAAUGUCGUGGGAUUGAAUAGAGACCAUCAAAUUUUCAGAUUGUAAGAUCUAGUGUUAGAAAAAUCAAAUUUCAAUUUUAUUUUUAAUCAUCUAAUAAUUCUUAAUUGGUUCUCAAAAUUUGAAAUUAUAAAAUCCUAGUAUUUUGGCAGAGGGAGUAGAAAUAAACUAUGCUCAUGAGGGAGCAUACUAUACAUUUUUUUGCUUGAAAUAAACUUGUUGGUCACUUGUCCAAUCUGAGUUAAAGCUAAGUGGCUUAUGCUAAAGAGCAAGAAAAAGAAGACAUGUAUUUCACGUACAAUGAUUAGAUCAAUAGAAAGCCUCUAAUGAAAAGAAAAGAAUCUCUUAAAGCUGAAAUCAUUUGAAAGUGACCAAAAAUGCCUUUAGUCCGAGUGGUACGGGUAUCACAAAUUACAUGUAAUGUUCUGUCAGAAAACAAGAGGAUCACAAUUAGAUGCCCCGAUAAAGUCUAACCCUUUUUAUUCUUAGCUUUAAAUUCCAUUAAUUGUCAAAACACCAGUCAUUUAACUUUAACUUCUUAUGUAAACUGUUUAUCAUCAGUGAUUUUUGAAAAUUUAGCUUAUUUAUGUAAGACAAGAUACUGUCAAUUUUUACAAGAAGACAAGAUUAUAAAGAAAUAUACAAUACGUAAGUCAAAGAUAUACUCAAGGUGUGAAAGAUCUUGCUCCAAUGUGUCCCUAUUAUUCUCUCUCAACACUCUCCCCUAAAGUUGAGCAUGCGACUGGUUUACACGGUCAGCUUGUCACGUAGAAAAAAGAAUCAAAUAGGAGAUGGGCCUUUGGUGAAAAUAUCAACUAUUUUUUUUGCAGCUGAAAUAAACUGAACACGCAAAAAUUUCUAAAACGAAAUGCUCCUUAAUAAAAUGACAAUUUAUAUAGAAGGAUAUAAAUUGUGGAAUUAUCCAUGCAACUCUGAGUGCUGUAAGAGUUUUUAUAUAAAAGUCUGUAAAUGAGUGUUUUGGAUAAGCAUUCUUGGCUGACUCAAUCAAUAAUUUUGUUAGUUAAUUUUCACAAUAAGGCAAGAUNNNNNNNNNNNNNNNNNNNNNNNNNNNNNNNNNNNNNNNNNNNNNNNNNNNNNNNNNNNNNNNNNNNNNNNNNNNNNNNNNNNNNNNNNNNNNNNNNNNNNNNNNNNNNNNNNNNNNNNNNNNNNNNNNNNNNNNNNNNNNNNNNNNNNNNNNNNNNNNNNNNNNNNNNNNNNNNNNNNNNNNNNNNNNNNNNNNNNNNNNNNNNNNNNNNNNNNNNNNNNNNNNNNNNNNNNNNNNNNNNNNNNNNNNNNNNNNNNNNNNNNNNNNNNNNNNNNNNNNNNNNNNNNNNNNNNNNNNNNNNNNNNNNNNNNNNNNNNNNNNNNNNNNNNNNNNNNNNNNNNNNNNNNNNNNNNNNNNNNNNNNNNNNNNNNNNNNNNNNNNNNNNNNNNNNNNNNNNNNNNNNNNNNNNNNNNNNNNNNNNNNNNNNNNNNNNNNNNNNNNNNNNNNNNNNNNNNNNNNNNNNNNNNNNNNNNNNNNNNNNNNNNNNNNNNNNNNNNNNNNNNNNNNNNNNNNNNNNNNNNNNNNNNNNNNNNNNNNNNNNNNNNNNNNNNNNNNNNNNNNNNNNNNNNNNNNNNNNNNNNNNNNNNNNNNNNNNNNNNNNNNNNNNNNNNNNNNNNNNNNNNNNNNNNNNNNNNNNNNNNNNNNNNNNNNNNNNNNNNNNNNNNNNNNNNNNNNNNNNNNNNNNNNNNNNNNNNNNNNNNNNNNNNNNNNNNNNNNNNNNNNNNNNNNNNNNNNNNNNNNNNNNNNNNNNNNNNNNNNNNNNNNNNNNNNNNNNNNNNNNNNNNNNNNNNNNNNNNNNNNNNNNNNNNNNNNNNNNNNNNNNNNNNNNNNNNNNNNNNNNNNNNNNNNNNNNNNNNNNNNNNNNNNNNNNNNNNNNNNNNNNNNNNNNNNNNNNNNNNNNNNNNNNNNNNNNNNNNNNNNNNNNNNNNNNNNNNNNNNNNNNNNNNNNNNNNNNNNNNNNNNNNNNNNNNNNNNNNNNNNNNNNNNNNNNNNNNNNNNNNNNNNNNNNNNNNNNNNNNNNNNNNNNNNGGUUGGCUACACGAAUCAUGGUCCACAAUUCUGUUAAGAAAAUAAUAGUAAUAAUAAUAAUACAUAUAAGUAAAAAAUAUACCCAAGGUGUCAACGAUCCCACUUGAAGACAUCAUUGUUAUUAUCUGUAAAAUCAAUUUACAUUGGACUCGACCAUAGUUAGCUAGGUGGCAAAUAACAAUACAUCAGUAAACUAAAAUAUCAGUAAUAAAUCGAUUUUAUCUAAAAAGUCGGAGGCAAAAAAUUUGGGUAAAAAAUACGGAUCUCUAAAAAUUAGGAAAGUUAAAAAUCGUGAAUAUUUCAGAUUUAACUAAAAAAUACAGAGUGAAAACAUCAGAUAUCUAAAGAUGACACGUGAUAAGAUUAUGAUUUGUAGUUGUUCUAUGAAUACAUUAAAUCUAUUGAACAAUAAUUUUAUCCCCUUACCUAAUAGCAUUAGGGUAAUACUUGACAAAUAUUUGUCUAAAUUUUCAAUAAGUACAACAAUAAUGCUUACUCCAAUGUCAUAACGCAAAACCUAUGACAGGCCUAUUGUGAGCAUAUAAUGAAACAACAAGAACUAUAACCCAAUGUAUAGGAUUAUUGUUAGAAGAAAAUAACGCAAAAGGCCUUCAGUAUAGGAUUGCAGUUAAUUAAAUUGUAAAAAACUAAAAAUGUAAAAUAAUGGUCCAUCCAAAAUGCUUUGUUUAUAACCAAUGAAAUAAUAAAAACAAGUUUCAAAAAGUGAAAUUAACUUCUGUAUGUAGAAAGAAAGCAACAAAAUAUUUACGUAAAUCUAAAUAUUAAAAUCUCACCCUGAAUUUCUAGAUGUCUAAAUUUUUAGUUGUCACUUAAAAAGAAGAAAAUUUUUCAUUGGGUUACUCUUCGAACUCUAUCCAUAUUUUAAGAUAUAUUGUUGAUAGAUUAUUUGUUUGGGAAUAUAUUGCUUGUGCUUUUUUAAUAAAUUUUUUAAAUAAUUUUUUUAUGAAAAUCUCUAAAUCAAAAUUCAAAGGUAUUAAAUCAAUGUAGAGAAUUAAAAUUUCAAUAAAGUUAUACAAAAGAAGACUUCUUGAAAUGUUUAUUUGAAAAAGUAAAAAAAUAUGGAUUUAUAUCGAUUCUUUUAAAGACAUAAAAAAAAUUUUGAAGAUCUUUUGAAAAACUUAAAGUUGUUAAUAUAAUUUAAAAGUUAAGUUAAAGUUGUUAAUAGAAUUUAAAAGUUAAAGUUGUUAAUAGAAUUUAAAAGUUAAGUUAAAAGAGAAAUGCAUGCUUUAUCGCGAUCUUGAUUAACGGUACACUUUAUGUUGCAUAUGUGUCUGAAUAUACGAAAACAUACUGAAAAUCCGAACCUAAUAAGAAUAAUAAUAAUAAUUUUUUAUUUAUUUUUAUUUUAUUUGUAAAUCACACCACUUAUCUCAAUAUUAUUUUGUACAUUUUCUAAGUAUGAAAUAUUUUUGUAAAACAAAAAUAUCCCCUAUAACCCUUGCUUCUUUCACCACCUUGUUUUUUUUAUGAAGCCAUUCCAGUACAUAGCAUAUUGGACCUACUUCUGGACUGUAUUGAUUUUGUUGACCAACAUCAUUUUAAAGUUUAAAUAAUAAAAUCAGCUUGGCACAUAGUGUGCCUAAUUAGUUUUUGGUCUCUAUUGAAACCAGUUUAGCACAUAUUGCGUCAGACCAACUUCAUUUUGGCCUUAUCUAGCUUUGAUAUUAUUGAUGCCGGUUUGGCACACAUUUUGUUGAACUAGCUUGAUUUUUUUCCCUUGAGAGAAACAUGCAUUAUCGGGGCAUUUUAUCUUAAAAAAAAACUUUUUAACUUGAAUAGUGCGUACAAAAUAAAUCAUAUUGAAAUUAAUAGUGUAAUUUCAAAAGUAUUGAGGACAUCAUGCUUAAAAAGUUGGGUCAAUAGUAUGGAUAAUUUUCGAGUAAGGAAAACUUUUUAUGCGUGGUCCAUUGCCUCCUUUCCUUGAGCUGGCUACUUCAUAUCCUGUAUCUGUAUCUUUAUAGGGGACUAAUAUCUUCUUUCUUUUUUUUUUUGGCGUAAGUGACUAAUAUCUAAAUAUCAAGCUCCUUUACUUUCCCAAAAAGGAUAAUUUCAUGAAUUUAUAUCUUGGAUCCAAAGUUAGUGACGGAAACAAUAAGAGAAACCAAAAAGGUGUUCCCUUUUUUAUUUUAAAAAGGAGCUUUUGGAUAAGGCAAAGAUAACACGAGAGCUUGGAGAUAUGGUAAAAAGAUGGCACGAUAGCUUGAAACUCUGGAAGAUAAGAUAGUGCUCUUAGUGCCCUUGGAAGUCCCUCCAUCAAAUAUUAUGUCUUGCAAAUACAUGCAAAAAUAGUAUCACUUUUCACAUAAAGCAUGUGUUAGAGGGCACUAUGUGUGAUAUAUGGAAAGCCACGUUGUGGAUAGGACCUAAGAGAGGUGUUCACUUGAUCAAAUUUUCUAGGGCAACAUCAUGGCCCUAGGGUUUAUUAGGAAACCAAUCCCUAGAUGUGGGUCAUCUCAGGGGACCAUAUCCAGGGGACUGAGUCACACUUGGUUUGGUUCACACUAAGGAACCAACCAUGCCCUAAGUCAUUUUAAUAAUAAAAUCCAAUGAGUAAGGAACACUGAAUUUAACCUUAGAUAUGGAUAGUACUAUACAACCAAACUGAAAAGAGUUACGCUUUUGAUUCACAUUAGGAAACAAAAGUAAACAUUGAUUUUGGUCACAUUAGGGAACCAAACCCUACAACUAUAGAGAUCUUGGUUCACAUUAGGGAACCAAAUCAAAGAUUUAUGCCAUAAGGGAACCAAACCCUAAAAAAUUGAGGACAAAAAGGGUAGGAUGGACUAUUUUUUCAAAUUUUAUGAGAUCGUAAGCCACCUGUCAACCGAGCGAAGAGAUCAUGCCUAAUGGAGCAAUCAACAUAGUUACAACAACUGUCAUUGACCCCCAUAUCUAGCCACUGUAGCCUAAACCCCAAGCACCUUAUGGCCAUAGCUAAGACCACCACAAAUCCUUGGUCGGGCACUGCAAAGACAUAAACAAAGGAGAGGAUGGAGGUCUUUCCCCCUUGUUGAAAACUUGCACAAAAAAAUGCAGCUAAUUCUUCAAUGUCUUCUCUAUCUUUGGGUAGGAUUUGAUGGAUAGAACAUAGGGCAAAGAUGUGACUAUUGGAAGAAAGAGAGCCAUGCAAACAAGCUUUUGAAUCCAUGGAGAUGAGGGGGAGAAAACAACAAAUCCUAUAUGCACACAAGGGUAAGUUUUGGCUAGGUAUUGUCUUUAAUCAAGUGGGGAAGCAUGUGAGCCCACUUUCUCCAUGCUUGUCACCAAAUUGUGGUUAGGAUGGGAUGGUCUCAAAAUUUUUCCGGUGGGUGGGCCACUGAUGGCCCUUAGAUUUGGAGCAGCCCUACAACAUACUGUCGUUAGGAGUCUAAUCUCAUGUAUUUUAUGAGACCAAUACAAUUUACAGGUCCUCAAGAGCAUUAUGGAGACAUGUAUUUUGUUUGAGGUUUCUAUAAGGUGGCCUCGUUGUACUGUACAAGUUCGGCGCACCUCAAAAUUUUGCCUUGAGAUGUAGUUCUGGUUAGAAAUAGCUUGAAAAUCAAAUUUCAUCCCUCCUUAUGAAAUUUAAAAUUCUAAAAAUGGUACAGAUUAGACAAAUCAAUAAACAUUUGAAAAUCUUGAAAACAAAUAGUCCUGUUAACUUCUUAUAAGAUGCUUUAUUUUUAAGACUUGAAUUAUUUUUUUUUUUGCAUUGGUACAUCACGAGGUUGAGAUGAUCAUUUGGUGGGGUUUUCAACUAUGAAUAAUCUAUUAUGUAGGAUUCUUUAUAUGUACCUUGCUGGAAUAGCAUAAGAUUGACAUAUUUUGUAAUCUUUUUUUAUUUUAUUACUAAUAUUUAAAACAAUAAAUGGUUUCCAAAUAUACUUUUCUUUAACAAAAUGCACGGUCUAUAGGCACUCAACAAAUGGUAUUAGUAUCCCCAAUGUGAUUUUUGCAUGGUAUCACUGCUCCAAUGGGGAAGGGUACCUUGAUCUAAACGAGGACAGAAAGUUUUUUUACGAUAAAUUUCAUCAUCGUUCAAUGAAAUGAAUUGAUGGUGAUGGAACGAGAGUGAGACUGACCAAGACAGGCCAUGACCCAUAUUUGUGGGUCCCACUUCCCCAUCUCCACACCCAUCCGCUCUGUUGACAGUGGUGGACACUUCUGGCAAUCUAUCAUUUUUGUCAAGAUGAUCAUAGAGGCUUCUUUACCUUCAAUGGUGCAUGUAGGGGCCAGGGCGUAUUUGGCCCUAGGGUUCCAUGGUAUAACCACGCGGUCUAUGAAAGGCUCGGGGUGCGACUCUUGAAGCUUAUCCUACAAAAAGAACAAUAAAAAUUAAACUAAAAUAAAUUAAUAACCGGUGCUCAAAACAAGAUUGUAAGGGUGGCAAGGGGCCAGGUGGCCUAGCUACCCUGUCCCUAAAAAACUAUUGCAUGGGCCACGAAAUGUGGCUCGAGGGCCAAGCCAAGGCCAAGCAACCACAGCCCAAGGCCGGAGUUGGGGACUAAGCUGACCCGGCUCUAAUAGGAUUAGGCCCAAGCCUGGGCCAAGGCCUUUUUGGCCCGGUCAAGGCAAGACCAGCCCUAUGGGGACUAGGAUAGGGCUAGAGCCAAGGGCGGCUCUGCCCAAGCCCCGCCUAUUGCCACACAGCUAGAUUGGUGGCCUUUAUCACCUUUCUGUUGAUCCCGCUCUAGGUAAAUAUUAAAAAAAAAUUAAAACCAAAUGAGGGAAGUUGUAGUGGGCUUUUAAACACUAGACUACACGGAAAAAGCCAAAAAAGAAUAACAAGGGUUGAAAAAUAAAGUGGGCUUUAGGGGACCGGCCGAUUCUGAUACUUGGUUGAAACUAGACCGGUCCUGGCCAAUUCCCAAUCUAGAUCACGAUUUCAUAUUAUCGACAAUAAGCUAAUAACUAAUAAUAGUUUUUUAGAUUAUCGGAUGACAACCAUCAUUAAAGGCAGGGAAAACAGAUCACUGCCAUGCACAUGGGCGUGCAAGCGUUGUGCAUUUUGGUAAAGACCCAACAAAUAAAAAAAAAAGGGAUUUUGACUUCCUUAAUACUUGGAUAAUGCCAUCUAUAAACUUUUUUUACAAGAAGUUCACACUCACUCUUGUCUUUAUAGAUUUCAAAUCAGGUGGUUGUGAGUAUGUCAUUGACUAGACUCAAAGUUCAAAGACAAAUUUUCGAACUUUAUGGCAUCCCCUAAACCAUCUAAUUUUGAAUCUAAUGGCAAAAAAUAAUUGUGACCUCUUUAUAAAAAAAUAUAUUUGGUCAACCCUUUUUUUAAUACCAGUCCAGAUCAAACAUCAACAGGCUCACUGGCUAACAAAAUGCUAUUGUCACCAAACAACAAUCGAUCCACAAAGAUCAUGGGGUCGAAUGGUCAAGAUGAGAUGGGCACAUCACUGUCCAUGGUGAAGUACGUAGUAUGAUAAAGAGAUAGAGUCAAAAAAAGGUGAAAGUUUAUAUAAAGUUCUAACUUUAUUUAUAGGAGUAAGAUUGUAAUAAUCUACAAAAUCAAUUUUAUACAAACAAUUUAAAUUUUAUAUCAUCUUAAGAAAUGCAACACUUUUUAAAUUGCACCAGAAAAGAAAAUGAUUUAUUUAUUCCAAAACAACAUCCAGUAUAAAGAAGCGUGAGAGAGUUAGAGAGGUGUUGGAUAUGGUGCUGUCUAAAAUCAAUUACAUAAGGAUAUUACCAUAUUAUGUGAGAUUGAGAUUUUUUUAUAUUAUAUGGGAUUGAGAUAUUUUCUUAUUAUGUGAGAUUGACAUUGAUAUUUGACAAGUUUCUUAAAUGAAAUAGAAAUCCAAAAGAAUUAAGACUUUUGGAUAUGGUGCUGUCUAAAAUCAAUUACAUAAGGAUAUUACCAUAUUAUGUGAGAUUGAGAUUUUUUUAUAUUAUAUGGGAUUGAGAUAUUUUCUUAUUAUGUGAGAUUGACAUUGAUAUUUGACAAGUUUCUUAAAUGAAAUAGAAAUCCAAAAGAAUUAAGACUUUUGGAUAUAUAUCUCUUGGUCCUUGAGAUAUAUGUAACAUCUAUAGUAAGUUUCCUAUUUAGUAUGGACUCCUAAUAUUAUAUAUAUGGGAUAAAAGUGCAAUGAAUUUGUGUGCUUAUUUAGGACCCUAUGAGAAAAUGGCCUCCUCGAGAGAGAGAGAUAGAGAGAGGGAAGUAAAGCCUCUUGUGCAUAAGAUGCAAUCAUCUUAUUAAAAAAAGGGAGCUUAUUAUGGAGAGAAACGCGUUUCAUCUUAGAGAGAAGAGAGCUUAUUAUGGAGAGAAAUAUUGUGAUGGUGCCUCUUGUGGACUCUGAAGAUUGAGAGAAACAUUGUGAUGGUGAAGAUUGAGAGAGUUUUUUUUUAUAGAGAAGUGAGAAAUAGUUCCCAUAAAGAUUUUGAGUAGUCUUUCCUUUUAGUUAGAGGGAAAGUCAAUUUCUUGUUGCUCUUGGAUCUCUAUCUGAUAUUAUCAUUAAUGAUUGUCAGAAGUAAAUAGAAGGAAUGAAGAGUGGUUUAAAAUAGUUCACUCAUGAGUAUAAUAGAUUUCAAUUUGUCAUGCCCAUGAAUAUUUGUGUUCUCGUAAUUUUAUUUUUCAUAUUUUAUUUGUCAAAAAUCAACCCAUCGGUUUUAAAGCUUAUGUGCACAAUAAGAGAGAAUGGGGUUGGGUCGUGGUGGUAGUACCACCGUCUCCCAGUUGAAAGUCACGGCCUCGUUUUACUAAUGCAAUAAAAAUCUGUCUAUUUCUAAAACGGGUAGGGGCAUGUAAUUGGCACCGAGGUUAAAAAAAAAAAAAGCAUGAGAGUGAUAGAGAGAGUAGGUUUUUUUUUUUUUUUCUUUUUUUUUUUUUUUUUUUUUGGAGAGAGAGUUGUGGUUGGUCUUUGUACAUGUGGUUGGUCUUUUUUUAUUGUUCAUUUCCCAAUCUUGCGUUUAGCAUGUAGCAGUAACUAAGAGAGAAAGGGAGAGAGAGAGAGAGAGAGAGAGGAGGGAGGGGAGGGAGGGAGGUAGACGGACAAUAGUAGGAGUACAAGUCGUAGUUAAGGUAAGUAGGGUAAGGUAGGUAGUCACUACUCCGUCCGUCGGNNNNNNNNNNNNNNNNNNNNNNNNNNNNNNNNNNNNNNNNNNNNNNNNNNNNNNNNNNNNNNNNNNNNNNNNNNNNNNNNNNNNNNNNNNNNNNNNNNNNNNNNNNNNNNNNNNNNNNNNNNNNNNNNNNGUUUACGUUUACGUUUCGUUUACGUUUACGUUUACGUUUACGUUAGUUACGUUACGUUACGUUACGUACGUAGUAGUAGUAGAGAGAGAGAGAGAGAGAGAGAGAGAGAGAGAGAGAGAGAGAGAGAGAGAGAGGGGGAGGGAGGGAGGGUAGAGGCCAAUAUAGGAGUCAAUGCAUUAGGUAAUGGAAGUAGGAUGCAUCUCCUGGGCAUUCCCAAGAAGUGGAGCAAAUAAAAACUGAUGGUUAGAUGCAUCCCCUGGACCAAAGCCUAGGACUGGCAGUAAAGAAAAAGUUAAACAUGGUUUCCCUUUUCAGCAUCAACAAAUGAAUCACCAGCAAAUUAAGAAUUUAUGGGACUCUAACUCUUCAAAAAGGUGAGGCCCUCAUCUACAGGAACACUCAACAGUGCUUCAAGGAUAUAAAGUGACCUUCCACUGCUCUCAAUGAUUCCCAAACACACAAAGAACCUCUCUCUCUCUCUCAGAGGGGAACAGAUAAAUACCACCACACCUUUAAUGUGACAGACCCAUUCAUGCAAGUAUACACACACAUUCCCUCUACCUCUGUCACCAUUUCUCUCCCCAAAUCUCUAUCUCAUUAUCUUUAUAUCUCUCUUUUCUCACAUACAUAGACAGAUAAAGAUCAUGUUGACAAAUGGGGCAGACCAUGGCAAGCCUCGUCGAAGAAACGAUUCAGGCGAGCUCGAUGUGUUCGAAGCGACGAGGUAUUUCAGCGAAGAGAGAUCAAAUCUCUCUACAAACUUUGCUAAGAAUGGUUCAAUCUCACAGAAAGCCGCUUUGAAUAGAGAAGGAUCAACAUGUGGAGGAGAGAGAAGGAUCCUAGACAUGCCCAUGAACAAGCAAAGCUCUUCUCCUCAAAAGAAAAUAAAGGAGAAGAGAUCCAAACAACCUAGCUCACCAGGAAACAAAUUAGCCAGCUUCUUGAACUCUCUCUUCACACAAAAUUCUUCGAAGAAGAAAUCGAUGUUCAGUAAUCAAUCCAUUAAAGAUGAUGAUGAGAGCCCAUUUGGCAGAAGAAGGAGAAGAAGUAGCAUAAGCCUUCUCCAAACCGCGAGCUCAAACGACUCGACAUAUAAUUCAUCUUCAAGCUCAGAUUUCAGAACCCCCCCUCCUUUCACAGCAACACCAACAAGCUUAGGUAGGGAAUUAAAUAGCUUUUAUGAUCUUCAUAGCAUGGUUUCUCUCUCAAGCUGCACAAGAAACCACACCUCUGCCUCACUUGUUCCAACAAAUGGAGCUCUAGAGGGCAAGGUGACUAACAGUAUGGGGUGGUCUGAUCACAAGUCCAAGUAUGAAAGUGAAUUUUUAGAGAGAGAAAGUAAUUGGGGUUAUGUGUAUUCUAGUGAGAAGGGGAUUAGAAGGAUCUCUGAAAUUGAUGAUGGAGGAGAGAGUGACUCAAGUUCGGAUUUGUUUGAGCUUCAAAGCAAUGACUUUGGUGUUUACUCAAAGGGAUUGCCUGUUUAUGAGACCACCCACUUGGAGAGCAUUCAGAGGGGAGCACCCAUUGCAAAUGGCUCAUUCUGAAGUGUUGAUGCAACUUCAUUUGGAGGGUUUUCUUUUGAAUUUCUCCGUAUUUGUAUGUAUGUAGUAAUGGAAAGUUUCAAUUCAAGAUUUUGAGUGAAAAAAUCGAAUUUUUGUUGUUGGAUUGUAAGCUUAAGGAAAGUUCAAUCGGAUACUGUUAAACAAAUUUUCAAAGAAACCAAAAAUGUAACUUUAAGCGAAUUGAACAUUCACUUAUGAGAGAGAGAGAGAGAGUAUGUGAUUUACCCUUUAAGGGUGGCAACGGGUCGGGUUGGGUCCAAGUUAACUUGCACCGAUUAGGUUUUAUUUAGACCUGGACAAGUUUGGGUAAGGUCCAAGUCAUUUGGAACUAGACCCGACCCAACACGGACCGGGGUCUAAAAAUUUUAAAAGUACGAAAAUAUUUUAUAUCUAUAAAUUCUAUAGAUUUUAGAGUGAUUUAUGUAUGGACCUUAAAAUUUUAAAUAAAAUACAAAAGGGUGCCGUUUGUGUAGAGCCCGGGCUCUAAACAAAAUAGUAUGGAGAAAUAUGAUUUCAAUAUUUAAAAUUUUUAUCAUAGCCUUAAAAUAUAUUUUUGUCUUUAAUUAUAAAAUUUAAAGCUUCAAAAUAGUGUAGAUCAAGCAGAUCUAUAAAAACUUGAAAAUCUUGAAAAUUGAUAGUCCAAAAAUACGUUACAAGAUGCAUUAUUUUUCAAACUUGAAAUCCAUCUUUUUCUUGUGACCAAAAAUCUUGAUGUCGAGAUGAUCAAUUUGAGGAUAUUUGAGCAUCAAAACGACUUCUUUCAGUGAGAUUUUUGAGACAGGGGCCUCGGCUCUAUAUAAACUUUUUCCAAUACAAAAUGCUCCGGUUAUAAGUGGAAAUUACAAAGAAGGUCGGUCAAUUCACUUUUUUUUUUUUUUUUAAUUGCCUUUCGGUCAACCCAAAUUUUGAUUUUUCUUUUUAAGUUUUUCGUUAUUAGGGCAGUGCCCCAAACUUUAAUGCACUGCCCUACUUACUAAAUAUUUUUUAAAAAAACUCAAAAAUAAAAAAAACUAAAAAAUAAAAAAACUAAAAAUAAAAAAAAUGGAUUGAUCGACCUUCUUUAUAAUUUUCACUUAUAAGUAGAUCAUUUCAUAUUUUACCUAAAAUCUUAAGGUCUGUACGUAAAUCACUCUAAUUUUAUGCCAUGUCACGUUAGGUGGGUCGACCCCAACUUGGACUCGACUUGACCCGAUGGGGUGAGCCAGACCCAGACACUACCUGCAACGGGUCUUUUGGACCUGGACCAAAUUGGCAGGGUCCAAAAUAUGGAGCCGGACACAGAGUUUUUCGAGUUGGGUCGACCCGACGCGAUUGCCACCCCUAUGAGCCUCUCGUGUAGGUGCUUGUGGGCGUGGUGGGGGAGAGAGAGAUUUUGGUGCAGGGUAUGAUUUUGAUUUAGUGAUGGGAUUUAGAUUGCGUACUUGCAUUGUGUCAUGCUAUGAUUGCCCAAAGAUCCUCCACUACACAAAAUGGGUAGUAAUGUACUGUGCCCAUGUGCGAUACAUGAUUUAUCCUAGGUUUUGAUCAUAUGCAAUGAUAGACCCUACGCUCAAAUGCAUCAUUCUUGAUCAUACUAGUAGGCCAAGACGACCUCAUGUAAAUUAUUCCAUCCACCAUUUAGACUAUUGAAAAAU